GAGAGGUCAAGGCCACAUUGGGACUGAGACACGGCCCAGACUCCUACGGAAGGCAGCAG
rnacentral:rRNA from 1 species